rnacentral:lncRNA from 1 species
GAUGAAUGAAACAGUUGUUCAUAUUAUUUGCCUCUAUUCAUAGGCUUUAGUGAAAUUGUAGUUAAUUCACUAUCGGGUCUGCACCUUUCCCCGUGGCUCCUCUUUUCAGAUCCUUUUGGUUUAAACAGCGACACAAUUUCCUUCUUUUAGGGUUGACACCUUUAUGGUUAUUCCCUGGGUUGACACCUUUAUGGUUAUUCCCACCCUUUUCCUUUUUAGGGUUGACACCUUCAAGGUUAUUCCCUGGGUUGAC